rnacentral:rRNA from 1 species
AAGAGUUUGAUCCUGGCUCAGGAUGAACGCUAGCGGCAGGCCUAACACAUGCAAGUCGGACGGUAACAGGGGGGCUUGCUCCCGCUGACGAGUGGCGCACGGGUGAGUAACGCGUAUAGCACCUACCUUAUAGUAGGGGAUAGCCCAGGGAAACUUGGAUUAAUACCCUAUGGCACCUUUCUGGCACAUGCCUAGGAGGUUAAAGAUUUAUCGCUAUAAGAUGGCUAUGCGUCCCAUUAGCUUGUUGGUAAGGUAACGGCUUACCAAGGCAUCGAUGGGUAGGGGUCCUGAGAGGGAGAUCCCCCACACUGGUACUGAGACACGGACCAGACUCCUACGGGAGGCAGCAGUGAGGAAUAUUGGACAAUGGGCGGAGGCCUGAUCCAGCCAUGCCGCGUGCAGGAAGACGGCCCUACGGGUUGUAAACUGCUUUUGUACGGGAAGAAUAAGGACCACGUGUGGUCCGAUGACGGUACCGUAAGAAUAAGCACCGGCUAACUCCGUGCCAGCAGCCGCGGUAAUACGGAGGGUGCAAGCGUUAUCCGGAAUCAUUGGGUUUAAAGGGUCCGUAGGUGGACCUUUAAGUCAGUGGUGAAAUUCUGCGGCUCAACCGCAGAACUGCCAUUGAAACUGAAGGUCUUGAAUUGUUGUGAAGUAGCUGGAAUAUGUGGUGUAGCGGUGAAAUGCAUAGAUAUCACAUAGAACACCGAUUGCGAAGGCAGGCUACUAACAAUAUAUUGACACUGAGGGACGAAAGCGUGGGGAGCGAACAGGAUUAGAUACCCUGGUAGUCCACGCCGUAAACGAUGGUUACUAGCUGUCCGGCCCGAUUGAGGGCUGGGUGGCCAAGCGAAAGUGAUAAGUAACCCACCUGGGGAGUACGUUCGCAAGAAUGAAACUCAAAGGAAUUGACGGGGGCCCGCACAAGCGGUGGAGCAUGUGGUUUAAUUCGAUGAUACGCGAGGAACCUUACCAGGGCUUAAAUGCAGUCUGACAGGGGUGGAAACACCCUUUUCUUCGGACAGAUUGCAAGGUGCUGCAUGGUUGUCGUCAGCUCGUGCCGUGAGGUGUCAGGUUAAGUCCUAUAACGAGCGCAACCCCUGUGGUUAGUUGCCAGCGAGUAAUGUCGGGAACUCUAGCCAGACUGCCGGUGCAAACCGUGAGGAAGGUGGGGAUGACGUCAAAUCAUCACGGCCCUUACGUCCUGGGCCACACACGUGCUACAAUGGUAGGGACAGAGAGCAGCCACUUCGCAAGAAGGAGCGAAUCUAUAAACCCUAUCACAGUUCGGAUCGGGGUCUGCAACUCGACCCCGUGAAGCUGGAAUCGCUAGUAAUCGCAUAUCAGCCAUGAUGCGGUGAAUACGUUCCCGGGCCUUGUACACACCGCCCGUCAAGCCAUGGAAGCUGGGGGUACCUGAAGUCCGUCACCGCAAGGAGCGGCCUAGGGUAAGACCGGUAACUGGGGCUAAGUCGUAACAAGGUAGCCGUACCGGAAGGUGCGGCUG